rnacentral:rRNA from 1 species
GACGAACGCUGGCGGCGUGCUUAACACAUGCAAGUCGAACGGUGACCCAGGGCUUGCCCUGGUGAUCAGUGGCGAACGGGUGAGUAACACGUGGGCAACCUGCCCCUGACUUCGGGAUAACUCCUCGAAAGAGGAGCUAAUACCGGAUACGACCACUUCGGACAUCCGAUGGUGGUGGAAAGUUUUUCGGUCAGGGAUGGGCCCGCGGCCUAUCAGCUAGUUGGUGGGGUAAUGGCCUACCAAGGCGACGACGGGUAGCCGGCCUGAGAGGGCGACCGGCCACACUGGGACUGAGACACGGCCCAGACUCCUACGGGAGGCAGCAGUGGGGAAUAUUGCGCAAUGGGCGAAAGCCUGACGCAGCGACGCCGCGUGAGGGAUGAAGGCCUUCGGUUGUAAACCUCUUUCAGCAGGACGAAGCGAAAGUGACGGUACCUAGCAGAAGAAGACACCGGCUAACUACGUGCCAGC